rnacentral:misc_RNA from 1 species
GUACCCUCAAGCUUUGCUUGGUGUUGGGUGUUUGUCCACUGCCCUUGUGCAGGACGGACUCGCCUUAAAACAAUUGGCAGCCGGCAGAUUGGCCUGGAGCGCAGCACAUUUUGCGCCCCUGGUCGACACUGUUGGCAUCCAUCAAGACCUUCUUUUAGC